rnacentral:lncRNA from 1 species
GGCACCUCUUUGCGAAAUAUUAUGCCCAUAGGGAUUUAUUACUAUCAAAUUAGAUAUAUCGUCUCGACUACCAUGAUAGGUGGGAUAGUCGACAGUAAACUAAGUAGUAUGACUCAUUUUUUGGUUCACUUUUAUAUAUUACAGCUUGUGAAUGUUUGAUAGUUGUGUAAAGUUGAACAUGUUAUAAUAUUUUGAUUGAAAAGUUUAGAAUUGUUCCAGCAAAGUACUUAAAACUUUAGAAAUGAUAGUUUUCUAUAUCGUUUUAAGCAUUAAAGUUAUAUGUUCCUAUUUUUUCCUAUUAUUAUUUAUAUGUUCCUAUUAUUAGUCUCAUUAUGUGGUUUAUUUUAUUUUUCCUAGGUAGAUUGUAGUGCCAUAGCUUAGUAUAGUAGAGGUUGGACAGGUUAGCUGGAAGGAGCAUAUUUUGAAGAUAAAUAUAUUUUGAGAUGUUAAAUUUUAAAUAUACUUUGAUAAUGAAUGUUUAAGCCUUAUAUGAGGAUUAGUACUUGUUGAUCAUGUCAUAUUGAUGUGUAUAUAUAAAGCUUAGUGGAUGAAUGAAAGUAUGGAUUUAUGGUUGGGAAGAAAGUGAUAUGUUAAUGAAAUUAUGUGUGUCAAUAUUAUGAUAUGUUGAUUUAUUUGAGCAUGAGCAGGUUUAGCUAGAUGUUUUUCCCUUUGCCCUUAUCUAAGGAUAGAUUUACUCUUAUUUAAGGGUGGGAUGUAGUACUUCCAUCCGAUAAUUAGGUGUGAGGCGUUACACAUCUUCACAUUGCCCGCUUUUUGAUACAAACCAUAAUGCUUACUUAAACGAAGAGGCCCAGUUACUUACU